rnacentral:rRNA from 1 species
AAAAUAGCAGUUCGUAGUGACCUGCGGAAGGAUCAUUAAAGAGUAAGGGUGCUCAGCGCCCGACCUCCAACCCUCUGUUGUUAAAACUACCUUGUUGCUUUGGCGGGACCGCUCGGUCUCGAGCCGCUGGGGAUUCGUCCCAGGCGAGCGCCCGCCAGAGUUAAACCAAACUCUUGUUAUAUAAACCGGUCGUCUGAGUUAAAAUUUUGAAUAAAUCAAAACUUUCAACAACGGAUCUCUUGGUUCUCGCAUCGAUGAAGAACGCAGCGAAAUGCGAUAAGUAAUGUGAAUUGCAGAAUUCAGUGAAUCAUCGAAUCUUUGAACGCACAUUGCGCCCCUUGGUAUUCCGAGGGGCAUGCCUGUUCGAGCGUCAUUACACCACUCAAGCUAUGCUUGGUAUUGGGCGUCCGUCCCUUCGGGGGCGCGCCUUAAAGACCUCGGCGAGGCCUCACCGGCUUUAGGCGUAGUAGAAUUUAUUCGAACGUCUGUCAAUGGAGAGGACUUCUGCCGACUGAAACCUUUUAUAUUUUUCUAGGUUGACCUCGGAUCAGGUAGGGAUACCCGCUGAACUUAAGCAUAUCAUAGACCGGGAGGAAA